AUGGGAUGCCCUGCAAAAGCUCCUAAGCCUUUCCAAUCUAUAUGGAAAUCUGGUUGUCUGCCUAAGCAAAAAUUCUUUUUUUGGCUUCUGCUCCUGGAUAGAUUAAACACCAGAGACCUACUCUCCAGGAAAAAUUUCUAUAUUGAGACAUCUAGAUGUGUCCUAUGUGAUGAUGAGCCCAAUGAAUACAUGAAACAUCUUUUCUUUUCAUGUGAUUUUAGCCAGAAUUUCUUGUUAUCACUUGGAAUUGAAUGGAACACUGAUCUGAGUUGUAAUGAAAUGCUGAUUGAAACCUGAAACAGAACCCAGAUUCAGCCUUUCAAAGAAUGCUUAAUUGCUGGUUGUUGGACCAUUUGGAAACACAGAAACAACAUCAUUUUUUACAACAAGGAGAGGGAUUUGAACUAUUGCAUCACCUAUUUCAAGGAGCAUUAUGGUACCAUCAUCAAAAGAGUCAAGCCUAGUUUAAAGGAGGGAAUGCAAAGUUGGUUGGACUACUUGUAA
rnacentral:rRNA from 1 species